AGGUGUAGCGCAGUUUGGUAGCGCGCUUGGUUCGGGACCAAGAGGCCGUGGGUUCAAGUCCCGUCACCU
rnacentral:tRNA from 3 species